GUAUCAUGGCUCAGGACGAACGCUGGCGGCGUGCCUAACACAUGCAAGUCGAACGGAGAAUUUUAUUUCGGUAGAAUUCUUAGUUGGCGAACGGGUGAGUAACGCGUAGGCAACCUACCCUUUAGACGGGGACGAACAUUCCGAAAGGAGUGCUAAUACCGGAUGUGAUCAUCGUGCCGCAUGGCAGGAUGAAGGAAGAUGGCCUCUACAAGUAAGCUAUCGCUAAAGGAUGGGCCUGCGU
rnacentral:rRNA from 1 species